GGUGUAUUUGUGUUGCUUUAUAAUACUGUUUAUAAUGUUUUUGCUUGAGGAGGGUGACGGGCGGUGUGUGCGUGCCUCAUGGCCUUAUUCAAUUAAGCACUCUAUUCUUAAUUUACUGCUAAAUCCUCCUUUGACUAGUGGUUUCACGCGAGUUUUUGUAAUAAUUAUCCUCAGUUUAGGGAAAUGUAGCCCAUUGCUUUCCAAUCCAUAGGCUACACCUUGACCUAACGUUUUUAUGUUAAUAUUUGUGCUUACUGUAGUUCCUUUAGUAGGGUUUGCUGAAGAUGGCGGUAUAUAGGCUGAUUUGGCAAGGAUUGGUAAGGUAUAUCGGGGUUUAUCGAUU